rnacentral:rRNA from 1 species
UUGUCUCCGUGUGCCGCUCCCAAUCAACCCGCGUUUGCCCCAGCCUCCUAUCGCACGGAAACGGAGUCCUGCUGGGGUCUCCUUAACUGGGGGUUCCAGCGCUUCCGCGCACAACGUGCGCUUACGGACCGUCCGUGGACGUUACUGUGAACAAAACAGCGUGUUCAAAGCAAGUGGCUUGCCUGCCCUGCAUGUUAAAGCAUGGAAUAACAAGGCAUCGACCACUCGGCGGUGCUUUUGUUGGUCUUUCCCUCCCGGUGGAAAUGCGCAGGCGUGCACACUGCCGGCCUUCUGGCCGGUCU